GAUGAAGAACGCAGCGAAAUGCGAUAAGUAGUGUGAAUUGCAGAAUUCCGUGAAUCAUCGAAUCUUUGAACGCACAUUGCGCCUUCUGGUAUUCCGGAAGGCAUGCCUGUUCGAGAGUCAUUAACAACCGUUUCGAUCCCUUUCUUUCAGAAAUUACAAAGAGGAAAAGGGUUUGGUUAUGGUGGAGGAGGGAAAGGGAGCGUUUAGCCAGUAAAAAAAGAGGCUGUGUUCCGCCUCCCCCCCAAAAUUGUACAGGCGGUCGUGUGCGCCCACGCAUCGAGGUGUUGUAAAAGCUGCCACGGCACUUUUCACCUGUGCAGUGCGAGAUUGGCCAGCCGGUUUAAAAACCCCUCCAAACAAUCAAAGGUUGACCUCGGAUCAGGUAGGGAUACCCGCUGAACUUAAGCAUAUCAAUAAGCGGAGGA
rnacentral:misc_RNA from 1 species